AUACAUUUGGAUUACUCUGUGUCAUCUUUCAUACAGAUUCGAGGAUCUGUUCCGUUAUUUUGGGAGCAGCCAGGACUGCAGGUGGAAUCCCAUCGUGUCAGGAUGUCAAGGGGUUUUGAGGCAAAUGCAGCAGCUUUUGACAGGCGCUUCCAAGCUCUUAAAAAUUUAUAUGGCAAACAAAUGAUUGUAAAUUCACUUGGGGCAAAAGAAGGUGAGCACAUGCUCCACAAAGCUUUCCAGGUCCCAGAGCAGCACUGUCAGGACCAACUGCUUGGACUGUCUGGAUAGGACCAACAGUGUGCAGGCCUUCUUGGGCUUGGAGGUGGGAACCCCAUGGAGCUCCUGCUGGGCACUGGGCUGGGAAAGUAGUGCCACCUUCCUGGGAAGGGCAGUGAACUUCUCGCAGGUGGGUUCUAGUGGGAGCUGGCCUUGUUCUGACUGCCAGAGGGAAGGCCUUCAGCACGUGUGAAAAUGAAACAGUACGGGUGUUGUGAGGUCAAAGCUAGGAAAAUCAUUAGCCUUCUGUUUACUGAGUUUAUUGUGUUCAAUUGCUCCUCUCAAGAGGAAUUCCUGUGAGAACUUCCAAGGCCUUGCUCAUAGAACAGACAUUUCUAAUUCUGGAAUAUGUAGUGCUUGGCUACUGCAUUAGCACAAGUUUUCUGUGGCAGAAGAGUAUCUUUGUACACUCUUGAUGUGUAGAGUACUUAGAUGUCAAACUUAGCUUUGUAGCUCUGUUUUUUCCUUUCAUACCCUUUUAAGAACUGUGUAAAUACAACUUUUCUUUUUAAACCAGGUGUGCCAGAUGUUUCAGCUAUGAGAAUUAAAUGAUGAUUUCAGCUAAAGUAUGAGAGCUCAAAGC